UCUCUGAUGUCAAGUUAAACUGCAUGUAAAAGCAAGUAACUGUAGGUUGGAUGUAUAAUGUCAUAUGUGAACAUUUCAAGAAGUUU